rnacentral:rRNA from 1 species
UACGUAGGGGGCUAGCGUUGUCCGGAAUCAUUGGGCGUAAAGAGCGCGUAGGCGGCCAGGCAAGUCCGGUGUGAAAGUCACAGGCUCAACCUGUGAAUGCCGCUGGAAACUGUUUGGCUAGAGUCCGGAAGGGGCGAGUGGAAUUCCUGGUGUAGCGGUGAAAUGCGCAGAUAUCAGGAGGAACACCUAUGGCGAAGGCAGCUCGCUGGGACGGUACUGACGCUGAGGCGCGAAAGCGUGGGAGCGAACAGG